rnacentral:rRNA from 1 species
AGGCACUGCCUGCCCAGUGACAUAUGUUCAACGGCCGCGGUACCCUGACCGUGCAAAGGUAGCAUAAUCACUUGUUCUCUAAAUAGGGACUUGUAUGAAUGGCCACACGAGGGUUUAACUGUCUCUUACUUUCAAUCAGUGAAAUUGACCUAUCCGUGAAGAGGCGGAUAUGCUAAAAUAAGACGAGAAGACCCUAUGGAGCUUCAAUUCAAUAGUACAAACCAAUACCUUAAAAACCUACCAGGCAACAACCCACCGUCAAUGUACUAUAAAUUUUGGUUGGGGUGACCUCGGAGUAUAACAAAACCUCCGAAAAGCACAUACUAAGACCUUACUAGUCUAAGUAANNACUUACAACUAUUGACCCAAUANNNANCUUGAUCAACGGACUAAGUUACCCUAGGGAUAACAGCGCAAUCCUAUUUUAGAGUCCAUAUCGACAAUAGGGUUUACGACCUCGAUGUUGGAUCAAGACAUCCUAAUGGUGCAGAAGCUAUUAAGGGUUCGUUUGUUCAACGAUUAAAGUCUUAC